rnacentral:rRNA from 1 species
UACGGAGGAUGCGAGCGUUAUCCGGAUUUAUUGGGUUUAAAGGGUGCGUAGGCGGAUUUUUAAGUCAGCGGUAAAAUGUCCGGGCUCAACCCGGGCCGGCCGUUGAAACUGGGGAUCUUGAGUGGGCGAGAAGUAUGCGGAAUGCGUGGUGUAGCGGUGAAAUGCAUAGAUAUAACUUAGAACACCGAUAGCGAAGGCAGCUUACCAGACUGAGUCUGACGCUGAUGCACGAGAGCAUGGGUAGCGAACAGG